rnacentral:lncRNA from 1 species
UCCUCUCUAUGGUUGGUCUCGAUCACUUUGCACCUACACCUCACUUGCUUUCACUCAUUUCUCUCCACCCACACACUCUCCUUUGCAACCCUCAUUCUCACUCCCUCACAGUCACGAAAACCUUCAUUCAAAUCAUACACUCUCGGUGGCUAUUACCUCGUUUAGAUUGCACUCUCACGAUGGCUACGACCUCUGUUCUCUCUUGAUUCAGAUCGCACACUCUCUUCAUACAAGGUUGGUUUCUCAUCUCCAUUAUCUAGGGUUAAUUUGCGAUUUGUGCUUUGUUCUCAUUAUCGUGUUAUCUGGAUCUGAAUUUUAAAUAAAUUUGCUUCCACUAUUGGAGAUGUGGAAGAGGGCUUGGGGUUCUAUUUCGGUUAGAAAUUUUUAUUUUUUGUUUGGGGUUGAGCUAGGUGGUGAGUACCAUGUGUUUGUGAAUAUACAUGAAAGAGGGAGAGAAAAAUUAUUUAAAUUCCACUAAUAGGUUUAAUAUUAUUUUCAGUUUUCAUUAGGUUUAAUAUUAUUUAGCAGUGAAAGGGACCUCCCCUAGUAGGUGCAUAAGUGGAAAAUUGUAGUAAGCAAUUUGCACUUUUGUUGAUUUUGCUGAAGCAACGAUCUUUAUUAUAUAAAGUAUGUUUGUACACGUUACAAUACUUUAUAGGCUAAUGAUAGUCCUUGGAUAUAUUCCUUAUUAUCAUGAUGACUUUAAGUGAUCUAUAAGAUUUGUCUAAAUGGUUAUGCCUUUCAUCGUGCUUGCCACCAUGUGUUUGCUAUUUUAGAUCAAUGCUGAGAAUUGGUAGCAAGUACAUUUUGUUUCAAAUGUAUAGUAACUUAUUUUUAGUCCUGAUCCACUGUUCUUAUGUAAUGUUGAUAUCCUAAAGAUUAGGCUGGGCUAAUUUCAAAAGCUUUUAACUUGUAGAUAGGGAGAACAUACAACAAUAUUAUACUUUCCCAGCAUAGAAGUAAUGUGUAGUUAAUAAUACCUCUGAUUAUUUUGUUUACCCUGCUUCUUGUACCCUUUAUUUUAUUAGGUAGCUAACAGUACCAAUCACCAUAUUUGAAAAUGCAGAAGGGGAAGGGGGUGGGGUGGGGUGGGGAAUUAGAUUCUAUGAAAUGGAAACAAAGUUUUCAGUUGAACCAUACUAUUCUUAAUCAAUAGGAAUGCUAAAACCACCAUGACUUUAGAUGCAUCUUCAUCCUUCAGCAAGUCCAUUUUCAGUUUUAUAAUUUUUGGGUUUGUGGUCAUCAAUGUGAAACUUUUCAGCAAGAGUUGAAUUUGUAUUUUUACUUUUCUCACUUACCAUAAAUGCACGGUUCAAUAUUGUUAUGUUAUGCCAAGUGCCCGGACACUCACUAGUAGUAGUAAUUAAUAUUGUUAUUACCACGGUGCUGCAUUUAUGGUUUCAGUUAAGUGGGUUUGCUAGGAGUCACUCAUAUAGAAUGCUUACAUACUGGAAAUUUGACGUAUGUGUUGGUGCCUCAUUGAUUCUAAUUGUGGUUGGCAUAUUCAGCGUGCAUUUUUUGGGUCAUUUGGAAAGCAAUGGUUUGAUUAUUAUAUGCAAAUACACUUUCUACAUUGAGUCAUAUCAUAUGUAGUGGAAGCACUGGAUAUUUAUGUGUGCAGACCUCAUAGGAUGAAUAAGUUCUUAUAUCUUCUCAUAUUUAUGUACUAUGAUAUAUAAAAUAUGAUGUAUAGAAAUCCUUCAUCAUUUUGCCUCAAUUUAUCACUCUGGUCUUUGAUUGUUAUUAUGAAUGUGUUAAUGUAUAACACAUGUCAUAAUAUUGUUUUUUUAUUAGCACAUGACAUAGUAUUGUUGUUGUCGGCUGGUUCAAAAUUUGAACUAUAUGUACAUUUUAUAUAUACUUAUUUAACUCAAUAUAUUCUAUAUUCUAAUUUGUACUUCAGGAUGAAAACUCUACACCAGUUAGUAAUUCCAUCUGGUUUUUAAUUAUCUUUGCUGUUGAGUAAGGCAUGUAGGAGAGAAGGCACAACUUGUGGUCAUUAAGAAUGCAGGGCAUGCAAUCAAUGUAGAGAAGCCUAAUGAGCUGUACAAGAAUUUAAAAUCCUUCCUCGUUGAUCCCUUAACUCCAUCUAAGCAAGAAAACCACAGCAAUGAUCACAAGGUGGGCCAGAAAGGUUGACCCUGAUGAGAAGAAAAACUUUUCAGCAUUGUGGAUAUGUAUGUUUCUCGAUU